rnacentral:rRNA from 1 species
AGUGAACGUUGGCGGUAGGCCUAACGCAUGCAAGUCGAACGGCAGCACAGUAAGAGCUUGCUCUUACGGGUGGCGAGUGGCGGACGGGUGAGGAAUACAUCGGAAUCUACUUUUUCGUGGGGGAUAACGUAGGGAAACUUACGCUAAUACCGCAUACGACCUACGGGUGAAAGCAGGGGAUCUUCGGACCUUGCGCGAUUGAAUGAGCCGAUGUCGGAUUAGCUAGUUGGCGGGGUAAAGGCCCACCAAGGCGACGAUCCGUAGCUGGUCUGAGAGGAUGAUCAGCCACACUGGAACUGAGACACGGUCCAGACUCCUACGGGAGGCAGCAGUGGGGAAUAUUGGACAAUGGGCGCAAGCCUGAUCCAGCCAUACCGCGUGGGUGAAGAAGGCCUUCGGGUUGUAAAGCCCUUUUGUUGGGAAAGAAAAGCAGCAGGUUAAUACCCCGCUGUUCUGACGGUACCCAAAGAAUAAGCACCGGCUAACUUCGUG